CACACCUGCCCGAUGUAACUCUUUUGUUUGGACCCUCUUCUUCGGGUAUUGUGACAUAUUGCUGGGCCCAGAAUCUAGGUGUUGUGACUCUUCUCUGCUCUUCCAUCUCUGCCCAAAAAGGGAUUGUGACAUACCACUGGGUCAAGAACCUAAAUGAGGUGACUCUCGUCUCCAGCCUGGGACCUGCACACAUUGUGUUCUGAGACAUAUCACUGGGUCUAACACCUAAGUAAUGCAACUCUCCUGCAUGGGCCCCGCCCAUAAAGAUCAUUGUAACAUAUCACUGGGCCUAGCAUCCAGGUGAUGUGACUCUGCUGACUGUAUUCUGCUUUUAAGAGGAGAUUGCAACAUAUCCGUAAUCGAGCACCCAGGUGGUGUGACACUUCUGCCCUGUCCCUGCCCUCAGAGAUGAUUGUGACAUAUCACUGCCCCAAAAGGUGAUGUGACUGUCUUCUCCUGCCUGGUCCCUGCUCACAGAGGGAGUUGUGACGUAUCCCUUGGCUCAGUACCAAACAAGUGUGAUUGUUCUUCCAUCAUAAGUUCUGCUGGCAAGGGAGAUUGAGACAUAUUGUGGAGCUCUACGCCAAUGUGACAUUACUGUUUUGCCUUGGCCUGGAUCUCAAAAGGCAUUGUGACAUAUUGCUGGGCCCAGCAACAAGGUGACAUGAGUCUCCUGUAAGGACCAAGACAACAGAGCAUUAUGACAUAUCUUUAAGAGCAUCAACUAUUUGAUAUGACUCUCCUUUUCUACCAAGGCUUCCCCACAAUGAGAGAUUGUGACGUAUCUUCUUGCCCAGAAAUCAGGUGAUGUGUUUCUCCUGUCUGAGCUUUGCUUGCAGAGAGCAUUGUGACAUAUCACUGGUCUCAGCACCCAGGUGAUGUGACUCUACUGUCUGUGCCCUGAUUUCAGAAGGAAAUUUAACGUAUCACUGACUGAGCACCCAGGUUUUAAUUCUUCUGCCUGAUACCUGCUCUCAGAGAAGAUUGUGACAUAUCCCUGGCCUGUUACCCAGGUGCGAUUUUGACACACUUCUGCCCAGCAGCUGAGUAAUGUGAUUCUUCAGAAUUGGCCCAGCCUACAAAUAGGAUUGUGCCACACUGCUGGACCCAGCACCUAGAUGAUGUAACUAUUCUGCCUUGGUACUAUUCGAAAAAGACAUUGUAGCAUAUCUCAGAGCCUUGCACCCAGGUAAUAUGAGUCUCCUCUCCUGCCUUGCUGCUGCACACAGAAGCGGGAUGUGUACAGGAUUGUUAAUCUCAUCUUGGACCUUCCUACACGUGUGACUGUGACACAUGCCUCCGUGUAGAACCUGAGUGAGUUUACUCUCCUGCCUGGAUUUAACCCACAGAUGGAAUCGUGACAUAUCUCUGGACCAGAAAGUAGGGACAAAGCAGAGGAAGCAGAAAGAGGAAGAAGAACCUCCCACAAGUUGCAGCUCUUGGUUGCAACCUUAAGCUAACCUCCCAAAUGGGGUUGCCCUCCUGGGCCUUGGCUUGAACAAGGGAAGCUGAAAAGUGGGAAGCCCAAACUUGGGCGUCAGAGUCACUGUGCCUUGGGCAUAAAUCAGGGUGUACACUGUAAGAAAACUGACCAUUGGAAGAGGGUUUGUCCAGUAUUCUGAAGAGAGCCAUCAGCACCUGAACUAAUGACUGGUAAAACAGCCAGGCAAGCACCCAAGAGUGACGGGACCUGAGACCUUCCAUCACCGUUUCCAUCAGACAACUAGCCAUAUAUCUGGAAAAGCCUCAGUAACCUUUGCCAUGGCAAGUAAGAAUAUGAAGUUUCACCAGGUGUGGUGGCUGACACCUGUAAUCCUAGCACUUUGGGAGGCCGAGGUGGGUGGAUGACUUGAGGUCAGGAGUUCAAGACUACCUGGCCAACAUGGUG